rnacentral:rRNA from 1 species
UACAGAGGUCUCGAGCGUUAGGCGGAAUCACUGGGCUUAAAGCGUGUGUAGGUGGAUCGUUAAGUACCUUGUGAAAUCCCACGGCUUAACCGUGGAACUGCUUGGUAUACUGGGCGGUCUUGAGCCAGCUAGGGGCUACCGGAACAAAUGGUGGAGCGGUGAAAUGCGUAGAUAUCAAUUUGGAACGCCCAAUGGUGAAAACAGGUAGCU